UGGCGGACGGGUGAGUAACGCGUGGAAAGCCUGCCGUAUACUGGGGGAUAACACUUAGAAAUAGGUGCUAAUACCGCAUAAGCGCACAGCUUCGCAUGAAGCGGUGUGAAAAACUCUGGUGGUAUACGAUGGUUCCGCGUCUGAUUAGCUAGUUGGUGGGGUAUGGCCUACCAAGGCAACGAUCAGUAGCCGGCCUGAGAGGGUGAACGGCCACAUUGGGACUGAGACACGGCCCAAACUCCUACGGAAGGCAGCAG
rnacentral:rRNA from 1 species